rnacentral:rRNA from 1 species
UACGGAGGGUGCAAGCGUUAAUCGGAUUUAUUGGGCGUACAGGGCGCGUAGGCGGCAAGAUAAGUCGGAUGUGAAAUCCCGAAGCUUAACUUCGGAACGGCAUUCGAAACUAUUUUGCUAGAGGAUAGGCGGAGAAAUUGGAAUUCCACAAGUAGCGGUGAAAUGCGUAGAUAUGUGGAGGAACAUCAGUGGCGAAGGCGGAUUUCUAGCUUAUAACUGACGCUGAGGCGCGAAAGCGAGGGGAGCAAACAGG